UACAGAGGUCCCAAGCGUUGUUCGGAUUCACUGGGCGUAAAGGGUGCGUAGGUGGUGAGGUAAGUCGGAUGUGAAAUCUCCGAGCUCAACUCGGAAAUGGCAUUGGAAACUACCUUGCUCGAGGGUUGGAGGGGGGACUGGAAUGCUUGGUGUAGCAGUGAAAUGCGUAGAUAUCAAGCGGAACACCAAUGGCGAAGGCGAGUCCCUGGACAACUCCUGACACUGAGGCACGAAAGCUAGGGGAGCAAACAGG
rnacentral:rRNA from 1 species